GAUGAAGAACGUAGCGAAAUGCGAUAAGUAAUGUGAAUUGUAGAAUUCAGUGAAUCAUCGAAUCUUUGAACGCACAUUGCGCCCGCCAGUAUUCUGGCGGGCAUGCCUGUUCGAGCGUCAUUACAACCCUCAGGCCCCCGGGCCUGGCGUUGGGGAUCGGCGGAGCCCCCCGUGGGCACACGCCGUCCCCCAAAUGCAGUGGCGGUCCCGCCGCAGCUUCCAUCGCGUAGUAGCUAACACCUCGCGACUGGAGAGCGGCGCGGCCACGCCGUAAAACACCCAACUCUUCUGAAGUUGACCUCGAAUCAGGUAGGAAUACCCGCUGAACUUAAGCAUAUCAAUAAGCGGAGGA
rnacentral:misc_RNA from 1 species